rfam:Brassica oleracea var. oleracea cultivar TO1000 chromosome C8, whole genome shotgun sequence
AAACCGUGAUGUGGGCACUCUCUGCGGUAGACGUUGAAUCGUUCCCAUGCAUCACAAAAAGAGUCGUCCACCAAAUGUUUGAAGGUGGCAAUCUUCUGCCUCAGAGC